UUUUUUUUUUUUUUUUUUUUUUUUUUUUUGUGAAUUUUAUGACUGACAUUAUGCUUAGGCAUCUUCCUCAUGGAGAGCGUUCCAGAGCUCAGAGGCACAGGGACUAUAGGCAGAAGAUAAUAUCCAAUUAUCAUGUGUGAAUCCUUUAACUUCAUUAUGUUCCAUAUCGCUUUGUCCAAAGUGUUUUGCUUAGUAUACAAAAAUUAUAUGAUUUGAUUUUACAAAUAGUUAGUUUACGUUGAUUUGAUGAAAUCCAUUCUGUAUUAAGGUUAGAGUUUACGAAUCAGUAGAUUUUUGUUACUUUUGGUCUAAUAUAAUACAUUCUUAUUAUACUGGUUUAAAUCUUCUUAACUCUUAA